AGAAUAAUGACCGUAGGUAAAACACCCCACAACAGAUCCGCCCUGCAAACCGCAUAGCGCUUUUUGGGAUGCAGUAAGUUGUGCCAGGAUGCUCUCUGUAGAGCCCUCCAGCCCCGCUCUCCGUGCCUCGAGGAAGGCUUUCCUCUGCCCUUGGCUGCCCACCGCGCAGAGGCGGAAGGCUCGCAGCUUUGCUCUCUGUUCUCCCAGGACUCCCGGAGCCCUCGCAGGAAGCUUUUCUGCCAUCUUCAGUUGAAAUCUAAGCUACAAGUUGAAGAUCAGUCUCCAGCCAACAGCACACCUUCUCCAAACAAAUGAUUGUUGUCCUAAUUUGACAAAGUAAUAACAAGGCGGGGGACUUAUCCUGGGCAUAGAGUUCCAAGGAACAUCAAACAAGAGAAAUACAACCAAGUUCUUCCACCAUGGAGCAGAUCCCCACUAGAUCCAGCUGCAGAGCAGGGCCAUGGCUCAUCUCUCCAUGCCUUUGCCAUUGGAGUGUUCCCAGUGUGGUUCAGUAAAACACUUAACUUGGCACACUGCAUUGGAAACUUGGCUUGCUCACUUCCCAGCAACAGAUUUUUGAAUUCUCCUUUCUGGAAAUAUGGUGAAACCUUCCUAACAAGAAGGAAAAAGAAGUCUUCUAACUCCAGGCUGUGGCUACUUUCCCUCAUCCCUGAACUAGAGAUGAAUUCACCCCACAAUCUGAGGUUCACUAAGGAUUAUGUACACUGAUGCAGUUUGGACAAUCUUGAGACUUUAACUUGAAAAAUUCAAGGAAAAGAGGGGAUCUUUGUUUAUUAUUUUUGGAGAAAAUGAAAUAAUUUCUUCUACACUGCAUUUGCGAGACUCUUGGCUCUCAGCUUCAUCCCCAAGACUUCUGCAGUAGUACAGGUUCUAUUAAAAGGCAAUUGACCAUUACUGGUUUCCAUCAGCUGCUCACCUUGAAACAGUGGCUAUCUCUGACACUGGUCAGCUGUUGUCACAGGAAAGAUUAAGUUGUCAUACUUGCGCAUGCUGUCAGUUAAAGACAUCAGAGGAAAAAAAAAAGCCUAUGGUUAGAGAAUGUUAAGGUAUGCUUGUAACAAAGGCUAGAUCCUAAAGUAGGUACAGAAGCAAUGAAAACUAUUUCUCAUCUACUAUCAGUGAGUUCGGUUUCCAAAGUUCAUUGCUGAAGGUGAGGUUUAGGGUCACAUCCUGUCUCAGGUACAGUAGCUGCUGUCUAUUUAUUUUGAGGGGAAGUCCCAGGCCUCUGCCAGCUGAGGAUGCAGCCCUGGCAUCACACUCAAUUGCCACAUGAGUGCCUUUGUCCUCUGGGUUUUGAAGAAAUAUGCAGAUGUAGCCUGCGUACCCAUGCAGGUAUCUUAGCGCAAUGUUUGGAAACAGAAUUCAAGGUGUGUGUACAUAUAUAUGUUUAAAUAUAUAAUGGGGCCUGAGUAAUUUACUUUGAUUUAUGCACUUGAAGCUAGGCAGCAAGGAAGGGGUUAAUCAUAAAGUAUUUCACCUUGAACCUUGCACUCUCUUUAUCUAGCACACAAUAAUAAAAGAUCAAGAGUUCCUGC
rnacentral:lncRNA from 7 species